UACGAAGGGGGCUAGCGUUGCUCGGAAUCACUGGGCGUGAAGGGUGCGUAGGCGGGUCUUUAAGUCAGGGGUGAAAUCCUGGAGCUCAACUCCAGAACUGCCUUUGAUACUGAGGAUCUUGAGUACGGGAGAGGUGAGUGGAACUGCGAGUGUAGAGGUGAAAUUCGUAGAUAUUCGCAAGAACACCAGUGGCGAAGGCGGCUCACUGGCCCGUAACUGACGCUGAGGCACGAAAGCGUGGGGAGCAAACAGG
rnacentral:rRNA from 1 species